rnacentral:rRNA from 1 species
UACGUAGGGGGCAAGCGUUGUCCGGAAUCAUUGGGCGUAAAGAGCGUGUAGGCGGCCCGAUAAGUCCGCUGUGAAAGUCCAGGGCUCAACCCUGGAAUGCCGGUGGAUACUGUCGGGCUCGAAUCCGGAAGAGGUGAGUGGAAUUCCUGGUGUAGCGGUGAAAUGCGCAGAUAUCAGGAGGAACACCGGUGGCGAAGGCGGAUCUCUGGGCCUGUCCUGACGCUCAGGCGCGAAAGCUAGGGGAGCAAACAGG